rnacentral:rRNA from 1 species
CUUUUGGGAAAAGCCUUGUAAAUGGCAAGGUCGAGGCGAAUCGACGGGAGCCUUGCUCCCUGAGAUUAGCGGCGGACGGGUGAGUAACACGUGGGCAACCUGCCUAUAAGACUGGGAUAACUUCGGGAAACCGGAGCUAAUACCGGAUACGUUCUUUUCUCGCAUGAGAGAAGAUGGAAAGACGGUUUACGCUGUCACUUAUAGAUGGGCCCGCGGCGCAUUAGCUAGUUGGUGAGGUAAUGGCUCACCAAGGCGACGAUGCGUAGCCGACCUGAGAGGGUGAUCGGCCACACUGGGACUGAGACACGGCCCAGACUCCUACGGGAGGCAGCAGUAGGGAAUCUUCCGCAAUGGACGAAAGUCUGACGGAGCAACGCCGCGUGAACGAAGAAGGCCUUCGGGUCGUAAAGUUCUGUUGUUAGGGAAGAACAAGUACCAGAGUAACUGCUGGUACCUUGACGGUACCUAACCAGAAAGCCACGGCUAACUACGUGCCAGCAGCCGCGGUAAUACGUAGGUGGCAAGCGUUGUCCGGAAUUAUUGGGCGUAAAGCGCGCGCAGGUGGUUCCUUAAGUCUGAUGUGAAAGCCCACGGCUCAACCGUGGAGGGUCAUUGGAAACUGGGGAACUUGAGUGCAGAAGAGGAAAGUGGAAUUCCAAGUGUAGCGGUGAAAUGCGUAGAGAUUUGGAGGAACACCAGUGGCGAAGGCGACUUUCUGGUCUGUAACUGACACUGAGGCGCGAAAGCGUGGGGGAGCAAACAGGAUUAGAUACCCUGGUAGUCCACGCCGUAAACGAUGAGUGCUAAGUGUUAGAGGGUUUCCGCCCUUUAGUGCUGCAGCUAACGCAUUAAGCACUCCGCCUGGGGGAGUACGGCCGCAAGGGCUGAAAACUCAAAGGGAAUUGACGGGGGGGCCCGGCACAAGCCGGGUGGGAGGCAUGUGGGUUUUAAUUUCGGAAGCAACGGCGAAGGAAACCCUUACCCAGGUUCUUUGACAUCCCUCUGAACAACGCCUAGAAGAUAAGGGCUUUCCCCCUUUCGGGGGACAGAGUGACAGGGUGGUUGCAUUGGCUUGUCGUUCAGCCUCGUGUUCGUGAGAUGUUUGGGCUUAAAGUCCCCGCCAACGAAGCGGCAACCUUGAUCUUAGGUUGGCCAGCCAAUUCCAGAUUGGGGCCAACUCUCCUUGAGAG